ACGUCUCAGUUCGGAUUGGAGUCUGCAACUCGACUCCAUGAAGCUGGAUUCGCUAGUAAUCGCGCAUCAGCCAUGGCGCGGUGAAUACGUUCCCGGGCCUUGUACACACCGCCCGUCAAGCCAUGGAAGCCGGGGGUGCCUGAAGUGCGUGACCGCAAGGAGCGCCCUAAGGUAAAACCGGUGACUGGGGCUAAGUCGUAACAAGGUAAC
rnacentral:rRNA from 1 species